CUCAAUAAAACUUCUCAUUCAUGAUGACACGAGGUCCCACAAUAAAGUGCACAUGUAAAUGAAAUAAAAACUUGAUAAAAGGCGUGUUUUCAUGAUCCUAUAGGUAAAAAUGUAAUUAUAAGUAUUGAAUGCUUUUUUUUGUAAUUUUAUAGGGUUGUAAAAGCGUUGACCGUGCGCACAUUUUAAGUAUGAAGCGCUUCCGCGCUUCAUACAAAAUGUACUUCGGUCAACGCUUUUACACCCCAAUAAAUUUACAAAAAAGAGCAUUCAAUUCUUAAAUAAUGAACA
rnacentral:lncRNA from 1 species